AUGAGGAUGAGGAUAUGGAAGCCACAACCACAACCACAAUCCCCGGCGGCGGAGGGGAAAAGGAAAGAAUCCGGAAAUCGGCGAUCAAGGAAGAGGAGAAGCGACUCACCUUUGGGAGGGUGGCCAGUGUGCCGAGGAAGAAGAGGGUUUUAGUUUUAGUAGGCGAGGAGGGGCAGAGGGCAGUGGGGCGGGUUGAGCGCGGAGGAAGCCUCCGCGCACACGGCACACGUAUGCGACGAGAUCCAAAGUUAAAAGUGGUAUCGCUAGAUCAUGAUUCAAACGUUUCUUUCGUUUAAGCAAACGAGGCAACGGCGACUGAUCACUGAUCCGCCACUCAAAAGGAAGAGGGGGAGGACACCAGGCUCCAGGUCUGUCAAGAUGGAGCAGAAGAUGGCUUUGGUCAAGCAGAGGCUGGCUGGCCUUGCUUGAUUGUACCAGCAGCUGAAGCAGGUACCUGAAUCAAAGACCACGGUUAGACCCUGCGUGAAAUGAUCCAACACUGGCUUCAGAGUAGCACCGUUUCUUUGAUUAAGCUCAGCACAUGUUCAUCUCAAGUCUGUGAAUGAUAGCUGGUACCUGAAUCACUACUAUGAAACUUGGCAUUUGUGAUA